rnacentral:rRNA from 1 species
CCUACGGGUGGCAGCAGUGAGGAAUAUUGGUCAAUGGACGAGAGUCUGAACCAGCCAAGUAGCGUGAAGGAUGACUGCCCUACGGGUUGUAAACUUCUUUUAUAUGGGACUAAAAUGUUCCACGUGUGGGUUUUUGUAUGUACCAUAUGAAUAAGGAUCGGCUAACUCCGUGCCAGCAGCCGCGGUAAUACGGAGGAUCCGAGCGUUAUCCGGAUUUAUUGGGUUUAAAGGGAGCGUAGGUGGAUUGUUAAGUCAGUUGUGAAAGUUUGCGGCUCAACCGUAAAAUUGCAGUUGAAACUGGCAGUCUUGAGUACAGUAGAGGUGGGCGGAAUUCGUGGUGUAGCGGUGAAAUGCUUAGAUAUCACGAAGAACUCCGAUUGCGAAGGCAGCUCACUGGACUGCAACUGACACUGAGGCUCGAAAGUGUGGGUAUCAAACAGGAUUAGAUACCCCAGUAGUC